rnacentral:lncRNA from 1 species
ACACUUUGGGUUGUACGUCAUCAAAAUCUAUACGACCUCUUGGCUUGGUCAUUAUUGCAACACACCAACACAUAUCUUUUAUCCAUUCGAAUAUCCACAAUGUCAUAUAUUGAAUCAACCCUAGUAUCUAAUCUUGAUGGAUCAAACCAAUCACAAUAAAAUAAUGCAAUUUUCUUUUCAGCGGUUGAAAAAUUGUAGUCAAGCUCAUACAUGUGUUUAAUCACACCAUAAAAAUCAUCCUCACCUCCUUUUGUAAGCCCUUUCACAUGAACCCCGCU